rnacentral:rRNA from 1 species
AGUGAGCGCUGGCGGUAGGCCUAACACAUGCCAGUCGAACGGCAGCACAGUAAGAGCUUGCUCUUACGGGUGGCGAGUGGCGGACGGGUGAGGAAUACAUCGGAAUCUACUUUUUCGUGGGGGAUAACGUAGGGAAACUUACGCUAAUACCGCAUACGACCUACGGGUGAAAGCAGGGGAUCUUCGGACCUUGCGCGAUUGAAUGAGCCGAUGUCGGAUUAGCUAGUUGGCGGGGUAAAGGCCCACCAAGGCGACGAUCCGUAGCUGGUCUGAGAGGAUGAUCAGCCACACUGGAACUGAGACACGGUCCAGACUCCUACGGGAGGCAGCAGUGGGGAAUAUUGGACAAUGGGCGCAAGCCUGAUCCAGCCAUACCGCGUGGGUGAAGAAGGCCUUCGGGUUGUGAAGCCCUUUUGUUGGGAAAGAAAAGCAGCAGGUUAAUACCCCGCUGUUCUGACGGUACCCAAAGAAUAAGCACCGGCUAACUUCGUG